CGUGGGGGUGGAUGCGGCGAGGCUCCCGCGCCUCGAUGGGGCCUCGCGAGUGCGGGGCGGUGGGGGCUUCCCGCGCCCCGCUGUGCUCUCUGGGCUUGUCCAGAGCCGAAGCCUCGGGGAGUAGGGCCAGGUGGCAGUAGUUUAAUGGGCGAAUCGGGACAUUUCAGAAAUGUGCCCACCGCCCUCCUCCCCCCGCUCCCGCCUCCCUUCACCCACACGGCUUAUUGUGAGAAUUUAAGGGAAGGAGUCUUUAACGCCUGCGGGGUUUGCCUGCUGGGAACUGAGCACCUCUGAACUCUCAGAGGCGUUGCAUAUGUGGCUGCGGUGUCACGUGUGUGUCAUCAGGUGGCAGAGAGAAGAGAGGCUUGUCUACGCCCAGUGUUCUGGCCUGUGAACGUCUGGAUGAUUGAUAGUCUGACACUUGACUGCGUGCGAACUGUUGGUGUGUGUUUACAGGCAGCCUGAGGCCUGUCAGGGGUCUGAAAGGUGACCGCGGAAGAGGUGAAAGAUCCCUUGUCUGGAGCUUUGUGCACUGGGUUUGAAUUCCAGCAGUGAUGGCAGUGAGCUUUUCUUACACUGAUACGGAGCCAAGCGGUUCUCUUACUAAUAUGAGAACAGUGACAGCUUGUGACCAUUGGCCAGAAUGACCAGCCAUCACGAUCCAGAGCCAGAUCCGUGGGCCCAGCUCGGUUCUGUGCAGCUGGUCAGUGGAAUAGACCUGCAGAUGUGGGCUCUUGUCACUCCAGGACUCGCUUCAGGACAGACGGGGUCCUGCUGGCCAGACGAGCCCGGGGCAGUGUGGGCCUCAGCAUGCAAGGGCGGCGGAGAGCUGGAAGUCAUGGCCUUGGGAGGUGUCCUCCAAUGAAAAGAACCUGCAGGCUUACAGAGCAGUGGCGUGUUGGUGUGCUGAACAGCAGCUGUGUGCUUCCCUGUCCUGGGCCAGCAGGGCUGAGGCAGCAAGUGCGUGACAGCCUGAGCAGAGAGCCCCUGGGACCCAGGAGCUCCAGGGGGGCCAGUGGGCACGGCACAGUGGAAACAGGAGCUGGGCCCAGUGGUGGCCUCAAGGCCCUGGGGGCAGUGGUGACGGCCCAGCAGGCCCCUCAUCUCUCAUCCUAAUUCUUAAAUCCUCUGGCCUCGGGUGUUCAGGGAGUGAGUGGAGCCCAUGGUUCUGAACUGGCCUUCACCGUGUGGAUCAUCUCCCCCACACAAGGAGGGGAAUCUAGGUGAAAAGCAAGUUGACCCAUUUGGGAUGAGGUUUAAGGAGCCCAGUGCUGAGAAUGUGGGUGUUUAGUUGAAAUCUUGGGACAAUGUCUUAUGCAAAAGAUACUAAAGUGAAUGGAAGGGUUUGUAUAAUGCAUUUUUUUUCCAAGGAGGGUGUGUCUGUUGGCAAAUCUAGAGAAUAAAUUGGUCUUGAAUAAA